rnacentral:lncRNA from 1 species
AGAAGAGAAGAGCACUGGGAUUAAAAGUGCGAACAAAGAAAAGGAAAUCCCAAGCACUAAUUUAAUAUUUUGAAGCAUUUGGGGCAUUUGUGCUGCUGGAACUAAGGAUGCUCAGCAUUUCUGACUCACCCACACGAUUCUUGAAGAACACAGGCAACAUCCACAGUCAACUGCUGCUGCUGAAAUCAUAGAUACUGCUGCAUGAUGUUGGCAUUCAAAAGUGCUGCAAAGCUGGCAUUUCUUGUGAUAUCAAGGCUGGGUGAAUUGGGCCUGGGAACCAGGGCCACAGGAAGAACACAGAGAAUCCACUCUCCCACUGAUGGCUUGAGGACUCGUCCUGGAUUUCACCAAACCUUCACUCCUAUACUUGUCCUCCAGCCCUUGCAUGGUUUGAGAAGAUUUAGCAGAAAAGCAAAAUGACUGAUUGCCAUCAAUCAGCCAUAUGAAGGCUAGUUUGGACAUUUCAUGAGGAAUCUAACUCUAUUUAGUGUGCUCCCAUUAAGAAAACUCUUUGUAUUUUGAGGGCCUAAAUCUAAAUAUAAUGGAUUUCCGUUGUCUUUGUGCCUUUGUAUUUUUCCACCUUUGACUGACCAACUUAUAAAUUUAGAUAGUGAAAGUCAAUGAAAUCAUAAGCAGCUUUAUCAACCUAAUUUUAAACCCAGAUGGAAAACAUACAAGAUGUUUAUAAUAUUGUGAUGCUCAAAAGACAAAGAUAAACCUCCUGUUAUCCUAGCUCUCCUGUUGCCAUAAGUGGGGGAGUCAUGUUUCAUUUUUUAUAUGAAAACUUUUUCAAUUUUAUAGUGACUAAUAGCACCAGAAGCAACAUUUUGUUCAUUAGACGUGCAUAAUUAAUAAUCAAUCCUUCCUUUACUAGACCUGGUUAUUGGAAGUAUUUGUAAGCAAAACCACAUAUUCUGUACUAGUUCCAAAUAAAUAAGAGGGACAUCCUCA